CCUACGGGUGGCAGCAGUGGGGAAUAUUGCGCAAUGGGCGAAAGCCUGACGCAGCGACGCCGCGUGAGGGAUGAAGGUCUUCGGAUCGUAAACCUCUGUCAGCAGGGAAGAACGGUCACUGUGCUAAUCAGCAGUGAAUUGACGGUACCUGAAGAAGAAGCCCCGGCUAACUACGUGCCAGCAGCCGCGGUAAUACGUAGGGGGCAAGCGUUCUCCGGAUUUACUGGGUGUAAAGGGGGCGCAGACGGCGAUGCAAGCCAGGAGUGAAAGCCCGGGGCCCAACCCCGGGACUGCUCUUGGAACUGCGUGGCUGGAGUGCAGGAGGGGCAGGCGGAAUGGCUGGUGUAGCGGUGAAAUGCGUAGAUAUCAGGAGGAACACCGGUGGCGAAGGCGGCCUGCUGGACUGCAACUGACGUUGAGGCCCGAAAGCGUGGGGAGCAAACAGGAUUAGAUACCCCAGUAGUC
rnacentral:rRNA from 1 species